GAGCGCUUGGCCUAGUGGUUAGCGCUGUCGGUUUUGGAUCUGAGGGUCCCGGGUUCGAUUCCCACUGGGGUGAUUU